rnacentral:rRNA from 1 species
UACGAAGGGGGCUAGCGUUGUUCGGAUUUACUGGGCGUAAAGCGCACGUAGGCGGAUUGUUAAGUCAGGGGUGAAAUCCUGGAGCUUAACUCCAGAACUGCCUUUGAUACUGGCAAUCUAGAGUCCGGAAGAGGUGAGUGGAACUCCUAGUGUAGAGGUGGAAUUCGUAGAUAUUCGCAAGAACACCAGUGGCGAAGGCGGCUCACUGGCCCGAUACUGACGCUGAGGCACGAAAGCGUGGGGAGCAAACAGGG